rnacentral:misc_RNA from 1 species
UACGUAGGUGGCAAGCGUUGUCCGGAAUUAUUGGGCGUAAAGCGCGCGCAGGCGGUCCUUUCAGACUGAUGCGCAAGCCCACGGCUCAACCGUGGAGGGUCAUUGGAAACUGGAGGACUUGAGUGCAGAAGAGGAAAGUGGAAUUCCAUUCGUAGCGGUGAAAUGCGUAGAGAUGUGGAGGAACACCAGUGGCGAAGGCGACUUUCUGGUCUGUAACUGACGCUGAGGCGCGAAAGCGUGGGGAGCAAACAGG